GUCGGUAAAACUCGUGCCAGCCACCGCGGUUAUACGAGAGGCCCAAGUUGACAGCCAUCGGCGUAAAGAGUGGUUAAGUUAACCCCAAUAUAACUAAAGUCGAACGCCCCCAAGACCGUAGUACGUCCUUCGGAGGUAUGAAGCCCAACUACGAAAGUGGCUUUAAAAUGCCUGACCCCACGAAAGCUGUGAAACAAACUGGGAUUAGAUACCCCACUAUG
rnacentral:rRNA from 1 species